rnacentral:rRNA from 1 species
CAAGUCGAACGCUCUAGCAAUAGGGAGUGGCGCACGGGUGAGUAACAUGUGGGAAUAUGCCUUUUGGUACGGAACAACUUUUGGAAACGAAAGCUAAUACCGUAUGGUCCCUUCGGGGUAAAGAUUUAUCGCCAAAAGAGUAGCCCGCACUGGAUUAGCUAGUUGGUAAGGUAAUGGCUUACCAAGGCGACGAUCCAUAGCUGGUCUGAGAGGACGAUCAGCCACACUGGGACUGAGACACGGCCCAGACUCCUACGGGAGGCAGCAGUUAGGAAUCUUGGACAAUGGGCGCAAGCCUGAUCCAGCCAUGCCGCGUGAGUGAUGAAGGCCUUCGGGUUGUAAAGCUCUUUAGUCCACGAAUAUAAUGACUGUAGUGGAAGAAUAAGCCCCGGCUAACUUCGUGCCAGCAGCCGCGGUAAUACGAAGGGGGCGAGCGUUGUUCGGAAUCACUGGGCGUAAAGAGUGCGUAGGCGGCGAUAAAAGUUAGGAGUGAAAGCCCAGGGCUUAACCUUGGAAUUGCUUUUAAUACUAUAUUGCUCGAAUUUGGGAGAGGAUAGCGGAAUUGUCAGUGUAGCAGUGAAAUGCGUAGAUAUUGACAGGAACACCAGUGGCGUAAGCGGCUAUCUGGACCAACAUUGACGCUGAGGCACGAAAGCGUGGGGAUCAAACAGGAUUAGAUACCCUGGUAGUCCACGCCGUAAACGAUGUGUGUUUGUCGCUGGGGAGUUUACUCUUCGGUGACGGAGCUAACGCGUUAAGCACACCGCCUGGGAAGUACGGUCGCAAGAUUAAAACUCAAAGGAAUUGACGGGGACCCGCACAAGCGGUGGAGUAUGUGGUUUAAUUCGUCGCACCGCGAAAACCUUACCAGGCCUUGACAUGCCCUCU